CCCACGCAGCCCCCACACCCCCACUCCCCACCGUUCCAACCCUUGUCUCCUCCACCCGCACCCGCUUGCCAAACCCUAGCCGCCGCCGCCCCCGCCCCCGCACGAUGGCCGUCGACGGCGAGGAGCCCGAAUCCCCACGCCUCCCUGUCCUCCGCCAUGGCCACAGCGGGCCUUCCGGAUCCGCGUCGUCGACGAGCUGGAUCCGCGCCUCCUCGCGCCGACGUCGUCUCCCCGAUCCAGAUCGACGCCACCUGGGGAGCUGGGCAAGGGUGUGUGGGGGUAUUGGGAGAUGGGCGCGUGGAAGCCGCUGGGGAUCAGCGGCCGGCAGCGCGCGCGGCUCCGCAAGGAGGUGCUCCUCGCCGGCGAGGACUGGGCCUACGACCCGCCCCGCGGCAAGAUGCGCACCAAGCGCAAGGGCCACAAGGUCGACCGCAUCGCCGCCGAGAAGCGUGGCAACACCGUUGAGCCGAUGAAGAAGAUGCCCUAGAUGCUCCUCGACUACAAGCGGCUUCAGCUUCGCCUGCUGGUCGUCUGCACCGGAUGCCGCGCCCGGGGCUGCCGGUGGUCUUGAGGACGACGCCCAGGCUCAAGGCGUACGAGGGCGUGCCGCCGCCGUACGACAGGACCAAGCGCAUGGUCAUCCCCGACGCGCUCAAGGUUCUGAGGCUGCAGCCUGGGCACAGGUACUGCCUCCUCGGCCAGCUCUCCAAGGAGGUCGGAUGGAACUACGCUCACACCAUCAGGGCCCGGCAACCUUGUCCUAGCUGGGUCUGCAAAAUCUGAAGCCAAGGUUGUGCUCUUUGAUCCUGGAACUGUUGUCGAGAUGGAUGAAGAGGGGUGCUGGUUGGAGGACCCAGAACCCUCCCAGCUGCUGUGUCUCACGGUGCCCCUACCCUGCCUGCCUGAAUGGCCAAAUUAUUGGCUGUUACUUCUCUGGUUUUAUAUUGAGUUUGGGAAUUUGGUAUUGAUGAUAGUCCGGCGACUCUGUCAUCUGAUGCGCAAGUCCAUGCACGUCGGCUCUCUGGGUCGUCCAGUAAAGCUGUCGAAGGAGCUCCAUGCUGAAGAACAUAACACUUGUAGAGCUUGCAAAUACUGUAUCUCAUUAUUGAACCCUUUUUGAACCCUUUUUGAUCUGAAUCCCAUGAAGAAGUAAAUGAGCCUAGUUUUUUUAACAGGCAUGCUGUCUUAUUAAAUCAGGGGGAAAUUAUUGCCUGGAUAGGUGUUUUCUUUUGUGAAGUUAGUCGAUGUUGAUCAAGUCCCCAUUUCCGCUGUAUGAAACGUUUCUCCUGUUGUACUUCUUAAAAAGCUUUCCGCUGAUGGCAGGAAGAAGAAGGCUGUUCACAAGAUGGCAGGAAGAAGCAGGCUGAUUCGAUUAGAUCCUCAAGAUGCUGGCCUUUCAUGUUUCUUCACGAGCAUCAGGACAAAGAAGUUGGAAGAAGCAUAGUUCUAGCUCAUUGGAGCUAGUUCUGGGAGCAAUGAAACCCUUUAGGCUGAUCCUAUUUGUAUGUGUUUUAUAUGAUGUAGCAGAACUUGUCGGGCUCAUGUGAUAGACUCAUGUGGUAGACUGUAUACUUGUAGAGCUGUUAUCUAAUUGUAAACUUGAUGCUGAUCACAUUUGUAUGUAUGUUAUAUGAUGUAGCAGAUUGCUUCUUGUUGUUAUUUGAAGUAUUGCGUCGGUUU